UACGGCCGCAUCAUCUUGAAACACCGGUCCCCGUACGAUCACCAAAGUUAAGCAACGUCGAGCUUGGUCAGUACCUACAUGUGUGACCAGUCGGGAAUACCUGCUACUGUAAG